ACUCACAAACACGUGAAAGAUUCACUCUCUUGGAAGUUAGGAUCAAAACAGAAAAAUCACCAAGAACAAUUCACAAACCCUAACUUCCAGAACCAAACUUCAUCAACAAAUUCAAUGAAAUUGCAUCAAUUCUCAGAGAUCCAUGGAUGAAUCUUCAUCACUGAAUUGAAAUCUCUGCAAUUCGAGGCGCGAAUUCCUCACCGGAGGUGAGAAACUCCAGCACCGACCACAGAGAAGAAAAGGAAGAGAGUUUCAAACCGG
rnacentral:lncRNA from 1 species